rnacentral:rRNA from 1 species
CCGCACAAGCGGUGGAGCAUAUGGUUAAUUCGACGCAACGCGAAGAACCUUACCAGGGCUUGACAUCCCCUGACCGCGUAUGAAAGUACGUUUUCACCCUCGGGUGACAGGGAGACAGGUGGUGCAUGGUUGUCGUCAGCUCGUGUCGUGAGAUGUUGGGUUAAGUCCCGCAACGAGCGCAACCCCUACGUUUAGUUGCUAACGCGUGAAGGCGAGCACUCUAGACGAACUGCCGUUGACAAAACGGAGGAAGGUGGGAUGACGUCAAAUCAUCAUGCCCCUUAUGUUCUGGGCUACACACGUGCUACAAUGGCCGGUACAGACGGAGGCGAAGCCGCGAGGCGGAGCAAAUCCGAAAAAGCCGGUCUCAGUUCGGAUUGCAGGCUGCAAUUCGCCUGCAUGAAGUCGGAAUCGCUAGUAAUCGCAGGUCAGCAUACUGCGGUGAAUACGUUCCCGGGCCUU